rnacentral:rRNA from 2 species
GCGCGCGCAGGUGGUUUCUUAAGUCUGAUGUGAAAGCCCACGGCUCAACCGUGGAGGGUCAUUGGAAACUGGGGAACUUGAGUGCAGAAGAGGAAAGUGGAAUUCCAAGUGUAGCGGUGAAAUGCGUAGAUAUUUGGAGGAACACCAGUGGCGAAGGCGACUUUCUGGUCUGUAACUGACACUGAGGCGCGAAAGCGUGGGGAGCAAACAGGAUUAGAUACCCUGGUAGUCCACGCCGUAAACGAUGAGUGCUAAGUGUUAGAGGGUUUCCGCCCUUUAGUGCUGCACCUAACGCAUUAAGCACUCCGCCUGGGGAGUACGGUCGCAAGACUGAAACUCAAAG